GCCAUUGNUAUCGGGGUCCGAUUUAGCCAUGCUAGUCGCACGGGUUCAGACCCGUGGCGAACAGCUCAGUAACACGUGGCCAAGCUACCCUGUGGACACGGACAACCUCGGGAAACUGAGGCUAAUCCGCGAUACCGCUCCCAGGCUGGAGUGCCGGGAGCGCCAAACGCUCCGGCGCCACAGGAUGCGGCUGCGGCCGAUUAGGUAGACGGUGGGGUAACGGCCCACCGUGCCGAUAAUCGGCACGGGUGGUGAGAGCCAGAGCCCGGAGAUGGAAUCUGAGACAAGAUUCCAGGCCCUACGGGGCGCAGCAGGCGCGAAACCUUUACACUGCACGACAGUGCGAUAAGGGGACCCCGAGUGCGAGGGCAUACAGUCCUCGCUUUUGUGUACCGUAGGGAGGUACACGAAUAAGGGCUGGGCAAGACCGGUGCCAGCCGCCGCGGUAAUACCGGCAGCUCAAGUGAUGGCCGCUGUUAUUGGGCCUAAAGCGUCCGUAGCCG
rnacentral:rRNA from 1 species